rnacentral:rRNA from 1 species
AGAGUUUGAUCAUGGCUCAGAUUGAACGCUGGCGGCAGGCCUAACACAUGCAAGUCGAGCGGAAACGACACUAACAAUCCUUCGGGUGCGUUAAUGGGCGUCGAGCGGCGGACGGGUGAGUAAUGCCUAGGAAAUUGCCUUGAUGUGGGGGAUAACCAUUGGAAACGAUGGCUAAUACCGCAUAAUGCCUACGGGCCAAAGAGGGGGAUCUUCGGACCUCUCGCGUCAAGAUAUGCCUAGGUGGGAUUAGCUAGUUGGUGAGGUAAUGGCUCACCAAGGCGACGAUCCCUAGCUGGUCUGAGAGGAUGAUCAGCCACACUGGAACUGAGACACGGUCCAGACUCCUACGGGAGGCAGCAGUGGGGAAUAUUGCACAAUGGGCGAAAGCCUGAUGCAGCCAUGCCGCGUGUAUGAAGAAGGCCUUCGGGUUGUAAAGUACUUUCAGUUGUGAGGAAGGGGGUAACGUUAAUAGCGUUAUCUCUUGACGUUAGCAACAGAAGAAGCACCGGCUAACUCCGUGCCAGCCGCCCGGGUAAU